rnacentral:rRNA from 1 species
AGUGGCGGACGGGUGAGUAACGCGUGAGAAUCUGCCUUGGGGUCGGGGACAACCACUGGAAACGGUGGCUAAUACCGGAUAAGCCGAUUGGUGAAAGAUUUAUUGCCCGAAGAGGAGCUCGCGUCUGAUUAGCUAGUUGUUGAGGUAAGAGCUCACCAAGGCAGCGAUCAGUAGCUGGUCUGAGAGGACGAUCAGCCACACUGGGACUGAGACACGGCCCAGACUCCUACGGGAGGCAGCAGUGGGGAAUUUUCCGCAAUGGGCGAAAGCCUGACGGAGCAAGACCGCGUGAGGGAGGAAGGCUCUUGGGUUGUAAACCUCUUUUCUCAGGGAAGAAGCUCUGACGGUACCUGAGGAAUCAGCCUCGGCUAACUCCGUGCCAGCAGCCGCGUUAAUACGGAGGAGGCAAGCGUUAUCCGGAAUUAUUGGGCGUAAAGCGUCCGCAGGUGGCGAUUCAAGUCUGCUGUCAAAGCACGGGGCUUAACUCCGUAAAGGCAGUGGAAACUGAAUAGCUAGAGUGCCGUAGGGGUAGAGGGAAUUCCCGGUGUAGCGGUGAAAUGCGUAGAGAUCGGGAAGAACAUCGGUGGCGAAAGCGCUCUACUGGACGGCAACUGACACUCAGGGACGAAAGCUAGGGGAGCGAAUGGGAUUAGAUACCCC